rnacentral:rRNA from 1 species
CCUACGGGAGGCAGCAGUGGGGAAUUUUGGACAAUGGGCGCAAGCCUGAUCCAGCCAUGCCGCGUGUGGGAAGAAGGCCUUCGGGUUGUAAACCACUUUUGUCAGGGAAGAAACGGUUUGUCCUAAUACGGCGGACUAAUGACGGUACCUGAAGAAUAAGCACCGGCUAACUACGUGCCAGCAGCCGCGGUAAUACGUAGGGUGCAAGCGUUAAUCGGAAUUACUGGGCGUAAAGCGUGCGCAGGCGGCUUUGCAAGACAGAUGUGAAAUCCCCGGGCUCAACCUGGGAACUGCAUUUGUGACUGCAUGGCUAGGGUACGGUAGAGGGGGAUGGAAUUCCGCGUGUAGCAGUGAAAUGCGUAGAUAUGCGGAGGAACACCGAUGGCGAAGGCAAUCCCCUGGACCUGUACUGACGCUCAUGCACGAAAGCGUGGGGAGCAAACAGGAUUAGAUACCCUGGUAGUCCACGCCCUAAACGAUGUCACUGGUUGUGGACGGCUUGCUGUUCAGUAACGAGCUACGCGUGAAGUUCGACCGCCGUGGGGAGGUACGGUCCGGUCGAGUUAGUUAAACGUUAAAGGUUAAGUUAGUACGGCGNGAGACGNGCGACGGACGACGACGAGGGAGGAGG